UGGGGAAUAUUGGACAAUGGGCGCAAGCCUGAUCCAGCCAUGCCGCGUGAGUGAUGAAGGCCCUAGGGUUGUAAAGCUCUUUCACCGGUGAAGAUAAUGACGGUAACCGGAGAAGAAGCCCCGGCUAACUUCGUGCCAGCAGCCGCGGUAAUACGAAGGGGGCUAGCGUUGUUCGGAUUUACUGGGCGUAAAGCGCACGUAGGCGGACUAUUAAGUCAGGGGUGAAAUCCCGGGGCUCAACCCCGGAACUGCCUUUGAUACUGGUAGUGUUGAGUUCGAGAGGGGUGAGUGGAAUUCCGAGUGUAGAGGUGAAAUUCGUAGAUAUUCGGAGGAACACCAGUGGCGAAGGCGGCUCACUGGCUCGAUACUGACGCUGAGGUGCGAAAGCGGGGGGAGCAAACAGG
rnacentral:rRNA from 1 species